GUACAGAUGAAGAGUCCUAAACUAGGACGAAACAACUGUCCAGUAC
rnacentral:hammerhead_ribozyme from 1 species